AUAUAAAUAUAUACGGAAUUAGAGUGAACUUCUUCCAUAGAUAAUUAUAUUAUAUCCCUUAAUUAAGAUAAUUAUAUUAUAUCCCUUAAUUCACUCAAUGUCAUUCUCUUUAAAAAAAAAAAAAAGAAAGAAGUCAAUGGAUUGAAAAAUCGUGAGGGUGAUAAGAUAAUUAUAUUAUUUCCCUUAAUUCACUCAAUGUCAUUCUCUUUAAAAAGGAAAAAAAGAAAGAAGUCAAAAUUAAUUGAAAAAUCGUGAAGUUGAUAAUUAUUAAUCUAUAUACUAACAAAUUUAUAUUUUAGGGGUAAAAUAGGCAAUCCACAAGUUGUCCCUUAAAUUGUCAUUCGCUCUUUUUCUAUUAGUAUAGAUAUA
rnacentral:lncRNA from 1 species